GAUGAACGCUGGCGGCGUGCCUAAUACAUGCAAGUCGAGCGAAUGGAUUAAGAGCUUGCUCUUAUGAAGUUAGCGGCGGACGGGUGAGUAACACGUGGGUAACCUGCCCAUAAGACUGGGAUAACUCCGGGAAACCGGGGCUAAUACCGGAUAACAUUUUGAACCGCAUGGUUCGAAAUUGAAAGGCGGCUUCGGCUGUCACUUAUGGCUGGACCCGCGUCGCAUUAGCUAGUUGGUGAGGUAACGGCACACCAAGGCAACGAUGCGUAGCCGACCUGAGAGGGUGAUCGGCCACACUGGGACUGAGACACGGCCCAGACUCCUACGGGAGGGAGCAGUAGGGAAUCUUCCGCAAUGGACGAAAGUCUGACGGAGCAACGCCGCGUGAGUGAUGAAGGCUUUCGGGUCGUAAAACUCUGUUGUUAGGGAAGAACAAGUGCUAGUUGAAUAAGCUGGCACCUUGACGGUACCUAACCAGAAAGCCACGGCUAACUACGUGCCAGCCGCCGCGGUAA
rnacentral:rRNA from 1 species